GGCCUCCUGGUGCUGCCCACAGGCUGUGUUCUCACACCGACCGUACAGAACUAGGGGGCAGCGUACACCCACACCCACCCCUCAGCUCAGGCCCGUGGCCUGGUCUGUACUGUGAAUGGGGAGACAUUG